GAAUGGACUGACACUAAAAAUGCUGAAGGAUUGCCUUCCUGAACAUAGGAGUCAUGAAAUGCCACCGUGUGUGAAGUGCCGACACAAUGGGAAGGAGAGAUCCGGAAUCCUAGAGGGCAGAAAAUGAAGGCUGUGGCCAGCUCGCCAAGAGUGUGUGCAGAUGGAUUUGCAUGUAAAGAAUUAAUUUGGGCUUGCAGGCUCCUGGAGGGCUCUAACUCCAUGCGCACCUCCCCGGGCAAAUCACCCAGCCCUGAGCUGGCAUCAUCUCGCAGCUCGGCCAUGAAGGAGCAGCAGCUUAUGGACUUGAGAUUGUGGUGUGCAAGAUAAUAUUUUCCAAAUGCCUCUAAGAUGAGUUCAGCCCAUGGGAAUGAGAUGCUCAUAACUGUCACUCAGACGUGCUCAGGCAGAUGAUGAAGCCGAGUUAACUUGUUGCAUUCUUGUGAACGUUGUCCAAAGCCAAGGAGAUCACCUUGUACUCCGAGAUAUUCACCGUGAAGAAAUGUUCCUUCGCUGUUGCUGGAACUACUCAAAAAUGUCUACUACAGUGCUUGAGACUGGGGGCUGUGCCAUUAAA